rnacentral:rRNA from 1 species
UGGGGAAUAUUGGGCAAUGGGCGCAAGCCUGACCCAGCAACGCCGCGUGAAGGAAGAAGGCUUUCGGGUUGUAAACUUCUUUUAAUGGGGAAGAGCAGAAGACUGUACCCAUAGAAUAAGCCACGGCUAACUACGUGCCAGCAGCCGCGGUAAUACGUAGGUGGCAAGCGUUGUCCGGAUUUACUGGGUGUAAAGGGCGUGCAGCCGGGAAUGCAAGUCAGAUGUGAAAUCCAUGGGCUUAACCCAUGAACUGCAUUUGAAACUGUAUUUCUUGAGUACUGGAGAGGCAAUCGGAAUUCCUAGUGUAGCGGUGAAAUGCGUAGAUAUUAGGAGGAACACCAGUGGCGAAGGCGGAUUGCUGGACAGCAACUGACGGUGAGGCGCGAAAGUGUGGGGAGCAAACA